rnacentral:tRNA from 1 species
GGAGGGAUGGCAGAGUGGUUGAAUGCGGCGGUCUUGAAAACCGUUGAGCCGAAAGGCUCCGGGGGUUCGAAUCCCUCUCCCUCCGCAA